ACAGCAGUAGCCGCGGUAAUACAGAGGGUGCGAGCGUUAAUCGGAUUUACUGGGCGUAAAGCGUGCGUAGGCGGCUUUUUAAGUCGGAUGUGAAAUCCCUGAGCUUAACUUAGGAAUUGCAUUCGAUACUGGGAAGCUAGAGUAUGGGAGAGGAUGGUAGAAUUCCAGGUGUAGCGGUGAAAUGCGUAGAGAUCUGGAGGAAUACCGAUGGCGAAGGCAGCCAUCUGUCCUAAUACUGACGCUGAGGUACGAAAGCAUGGGGAGCAAACAGGAUUAGAUACCCGCGUAGUCCCUGUCUCUUAUAC
rnacentral:rRNA from 1 species